CCUACGGGAGGCAGCAGUGGGGAAUAUUGGGCAAUGGGCGCAAGCCUGACCCAGCAACGCCGCGUGAAGGAAGAAGGCUUUCGGGUUGUAAACUUCUUUUCUCAGGGACGAAGAGAGUGACGGUACCUGAGGAAUAAGCCACUGCUAACUACGUGCCAGCAGCCGCGGUAAUACGGAGGUGGCAAGCGUUAUCCGGAUUUACUGGGUGUAAAGGGCGUGUAGGCGGGACUGCAAGUCAGAUGUGAAAACCACGGGCUCAACCUGUGACCUGCAUUUGAAACUGUAGUUCUUGAGUACUGGUGAGGCAGACGGAAUGUCUAGUGUAGCGGUGAAAUGCGUAGAUAUUAGGAGGAACACCAGUGGCGAAGGCGGUCUGCUGGACAGCAACUGACGCUGAGGCGCGAAAGCGUGGGGAGCAAACAGGAUUAGAUACCCUGGUAGUC
rnacentral:rRNA from 1 species